rnacentral:rRNA from 1 species
GACAGAGGCCUCAAGCGUUAGGCGGAAUCACUGGGCUUAAAGCGUGUGUAGGCGGAUCGUUAAGUGUCUUGUGAAAUCCCACGGCUCACCCGUGGAACGGCUGGGCAUACUGGCGAUCUUGGGCCAACUAGGGGCAACUGGAACAAGCGGUGGAGCGGUGAAAUGCGUAGAUAUCGCUUGGAACGCCGAAGGUGAAAACAGGUUGCUGGGGUUGUGCCGACGCUGAGACACGAAAGCCAGGGGAGCAAACGGGA